rnacentral:rRNA from 1 species
UACGUAGGGGGCUAGCGUUGUCCGGAAUCAUUGGGCGUAAAGCGCGUGUAGGCGGCCCGGUAAGUCCGCUGUGAAAGUCGGGGGCUCAACCCUCGGAUGCCGGUGGAUACUGUCGGGCUAGAGUGCGGAAGAGGCGAGUGGAAUUCCUGGUGUAGCGGUGAAAUGACGCAGAUAUCAGGAGGAACACCAAUUGCGAAGGCAGCUCGCUGGGACGUUACUGACGCUGAGACGCGAAAGCGUGGGGAGCAAACAGG